GACGAACGCUGGCGGCGUGCCUAAUACAUGCAAGUCGAGCGGGCCUCCGGAGGUGCUUGCACCUCCGGAAGGCCAGCGGCGGACGGGUGAGUAACACGUGGGCAACCUGCCUUUGAGGCCGGGAUAACACCGGGAAACCGGUUCUAAUACCGGAUGCGUCCUCUUUCGUGCCUGCGAGAGGGGAGAAAGACGGUCUUCGGGCCGUCGCUCAAAGGGGGUCCCGCGGCGCAGUAGCUGGUUGGUGGGGUAAGGGCCUACCAAGGCGACGAUGCGUUGCCGACCUGAGAGGGUGCUCGGCCACACUGGGACUGAGACACGGCCCAGACUCCUGCGGGAGGCAGCAGUAGGGAAUCAUCCGCAAUGGGCGAAAGCCUGACGGUGCAACGCCGCGUGAGUGAGGAAGGUUUUCGGAUCGUAAAGCUCUGUUGUGAGGGAAGAACAGCUUCCGGAGGAAAUGCCGGAGGUUUGCCGGUACCUCACCAGAAAGCCCCGGCUAACUACGUGCCAGCAGCCGCGGUAA
rnacentral:rRNA from 1 species